UCCACUACUCAGUUGGUAGAGUGCAAAGCUCUUAACCUUGUGGACGUGGGUUCAAGCCCCAUGGUGGAG
rfam:Triticum urartu cultivar G1812 contig196849, whole genome shotgun sequence.